GACGAACGCUGGCGGCGUGCUUAACACAUGCAAGUCGAACGGAAAGGCCCUGCUUUUGUGGGGUGCUCGAUUGGCGAACGGGUGAGUAACACGUGAGUAACCUGCCCCUGACUUUGGGAUAACUUCAGGAAACUGGGGCUAAUACCGGAUAGGAGCUCCUGCUGCAUGGGGGGGGUUGGAAAGUUUCGGCGGUUGGGGAUGGACUCGCGGCUUAUCAGCUUGUUGGUGGGGUAGUGGCUUACCAAGGCUUUGACGGGUAGCCGGCCUGAGAGGGGAAACGGCCACAAUAGGACUGAGAGACGGCGCAGACUCGUACGGGCGGCAGCGGUGGGGAAUAUUGCACAAUGGGCGGAAGCGUGAUGCAGCAGCGCCGCGUGCGGGAUGACGUCCUUCGGGUUGUAAACCGCUGUCGCCUGUGACGAAGCGUGAGUGACGGUAAUGGGUAAAGAAGCACCGGCUAACUACGUG
rnacentral:rRNA from 1 species